rnacentral:rRNA from 1 species
AGAAGCGAGAAUGUUGACAUGAGUAGCGACAGAGCGGGUGAGAGACCCGCUCGCCGAAAGUCCAAGGGUUCCUGCUUAAAGCUAAUCUGAGCAGGGUGAGCCGACCCCUAAGGCGAGGCCGAAAGGCGUAGUCGAUGGGAACCAGGUUAAUAUUCCUGGGCCAGGAGGAAGUGACGGAUCGUAGCUGUUGUCUGGUCUUAUCGGAUUGAUCAGGCUUCGAAGCGGUCCCUGGAAAUAGCCCUCCAUGAGAUCGUACCCUAAACCGACACAGGUGGACUGGUAGAGCAUACCAAGGCGCUUGAGAGAACUACGUUGAGGGAACUCGGCAAAAUGCCUCCGUAACUUCGGGAGAAGGAGGCCCCGUUGGUGGGCAACCACUGGCGGGGGGCACAAACUAGGGGGUGGCGACUGUUUACUAAAAACACAGGACUCUGCGAAGCCCAAAGGCGACGUAUAGGGUCUGACGCCUGCCCGGUGCCGGAAGGUUAAAAGGAGGAGUGCAAGCUCUGAAUUGAAGCCCCGGUAAACGGCGGCCGUAACAAUAACGGUCCUAAGGUAGCGAAAUUCCUUGUCGGGUAAGUUCCGACCUGCACGAAUGGCGUAACGACUUCCCCGCUGUCUCCAACGUAGACUCAGCGAAAUUGAAUUCCCCGUGAAGAUGCGGGGUUCCCGCGGUCAGACGGAAAGACCCCGUGCACCUUUACUACAGCUUCACACUGGCAUCAGGUCAGGCAUGUGCAGGAUAGGUGGUAGGCUUUGAAGCGGGGACGCCAGUUCCCGGGGAACCUCCCUUGAGAUACCACCCUUGCCUUGCCUGAUGUCUAACCGCGGACCGUUAUCCGGUUCCGGGACCCUGUGUGGCGGGUAGUUUGACUGGGGCGGUCGCCUCCCAAAGAGUAACGGAGGCGCGCGAUGGUGGGCUCAGGUUGGUCGGAAAUCAACCGUCGAGUGCAAUGGCAUAAGCCCGCCUGACUGCGAGACUGACAAGUCGAGCAGAGACGAAAGUCGGCCAUAGUGAUCCGGUGGUCCCGCGUGGAAGGGCCAUCGCUCAACGGAUAAAAGGUACGCCGGGGAUAACAGGCUGAUACUGCCCAAGAGUCCAUAUCGACGGCAGUGUUUGGCACCUCGAUGUCGGCUCAUCACAUCCUGGGGCUGGAGAAGGUCCCAAGGGUACGGCUGUUCGCCGUUUAAAGUGGUACGUGAGCUGGGUUUAGAACGUCGUGAGACAGUUCGGUCCCUAUCUGCCGUGGGUGUCGGAGACUUGAGAGGAGUUGCCCCUAGUACGAGAGGACCGGGGUGAACGCACCACUGGUGGACCUGUUGUCGUGCCAACGGCAGUGCAGGGUAGCUAUGUGCGGACAGGAUAACCGCUGAAGGCAUCUAAGCGGGAAGCCCCCCUCAAAACCAGGUCUCCCUUGAGGGCCGUGGAAGACCACCACGUCGAUAGGCCGGAGGUAUAAGUGCAGCAAUGCAUUCAGCUGACCGGUACUAAUCGCCCU